rnacentral:lncRNA from 1 species
AUGCUGGCAUCUUGCAGACGCUGUGCUCCUGGGGCUGCUUUACCCUGGCUUCUUCACAGCCAUUCUUUGGUGCCCCCGGGAAAAUCACAGGUCACUGAAAGCCACGGAAGGGAUCAACUCCCCUGGAACUUUUGUCAGAUUCGCCCCUGCUCUAGUAAAGGUUUUGAUGGAGGAACCAGAAGAGCAGGCAGCAGGCACUGGAGAAGAGGGUGGAAAUCUGAAUGGGGAUGAAGAGACUCAGAUGGUGAUUUGGGGGAAAAUAGAGUGAAAAGAUAAGAUUGAAGGCAGUUAUAAAAUAAUCUCCUAAGCAACAGCAAAGUACAGAGAAGUUGGGAAGAAGAGAAAAGCUCUACGUUUGGUAGAAAUGUCACUUAGGGACAGGAUUCAGGGCCUCAUGAUAAUUCUCUUGAAAGGCUCACUAUUAGAUCCUGGACCACAUUUCAUUAUUUUGUUUUGUUUUGUUUUAAAAUGUUUUAUUUCUUUGGGCAUCAAAAACUCUUAUACCAUACCAGAAGGAUCCUGGGAUCUGACCAGGGUUACAAAUAUACAGAAAAUACACUCCACAUGUACAUAGUCAGAGAGGCAGAUAGUGAUCAGGAGCAUAGUUUAUAAAUUGAUUUUAAAAUCUCAAGUUAUUUUUAAAAGGUGUCAAUGUGACUUUAAUAGAAAUUGGAUAAAUAUAUUUCAUCUAUAUUAGAUGUUUUACCUUUAGAAUUAUUGUUUUUAUAUAAUAUUUCACAUAAAUAUUUCCUUAAUAACAAAUACAUUACUUAAAUUGAACUGUUACAGAAAGGAUCUUUUUAAAAAUCUUUAGUUAGGUCUGGGGAUUUAGCUCAGUGGUGCCGCUGCCUACCUCCCAAGCACAAGGUCCCGAGUUCGAUCCCCGGUACCAAAAAAAAAAAACCUUUAAUGACACUAUAAUAAAGGUACUCAAAAGUUCUACAUGUGAAUAUUAAUAAAAUGUGUACACAUCCAAAUGAAAUAUAUUUUUUUUAUUUUUGGCAUAAGCAUCUAUAAACAUUUCCCUCAUUUUUAUUCUGUAGAAGAAAAGCAAAAAAUAUAAAUAAAAACUAAAUUAUUUUUGAACAAUCAAUUAGCGCUUCUAGAUAGCUUUAUUUCCGGUGGUUCCAUCCUCAAACUCUAGUUAAGGAGGUCAUAAGCACACACACGGUACACCAAAAUCUAGGAUAUCCUUAGCCACAUAAAAGAUAUUAGUUACAUUCUUUAUACUGUGCUACCUGUCUACUUUGAUAAGCAGAUAAGAUUAAAAGGAAUACAGUCCAGGUUGAAUGAUUUGGUUUAUUUGAAUACAAACUAUAUGUCAUUGUUGCAGUGGGAAGCAAGGUACCAAAUUUCAGUGGAUUUCACCAAAUACAUCUUGUGAGAGUUUAUUUGAUGCAAAGUAGAUGAUACAUGUGUAUGGGAUUGAGGUGACUAACAUGACUAAUGGCUGUAAAGAAACAUAACUCAGAAAUCUGGGUGCAUGUAAUUAGAUUAAAAUGAUUUAACAUGCAGGAAUUAAUUGAAUUCAUUAGGUAAUCCUGUGACCAACAUCUUAAUGCUGACUGCUCAAAGAAAUCUACAUAUCAGCAAGAUGACUAAAUCUUCAGACUGUCAAAAAAUCUUAAUUGAAAUUGACAGUGAAAGAUUAAAUUAAAUUCCUCAAAGAUAUUUUAUAAGGUCAUUACAAACUACCAGGAAUUAAAGAAAUCAAUAGCCUAUCAACUAUGUUGAUGGCAUUAAAGAAGUUGGUAUGGCGAAUUUUAAUAUUAAUUCUUAAAAUUACAGCACAGUAUCGAGGAAAAUUAGGGGAAAUAUUUUGGAAGAAAUUCCAAAGUCAUCAGAUUUUUCACAACCAGGGGAUAGGCCAUGACUCAAUCAAGGAAAUUGGAAAAUGCCAGGAAAUGGAAAAUACCAUGAAAGAACAGUCUUGAUGAUCGCUAAACAGGGGAGCAGGCUUCCACUUGUUUGCAGGUGGCAGUAAGGUGUAGUGAGGAAGAAAAGCAAAGAAAAUUUGUGAUCCCAGAUAUCAAAGUACUUUUUCAAGAAUAAAUAGAAAACAGAAACAAAUUAUAGAGACAACUGCAUUGUGCUCUGAACUAUUAAGACAAUAAGGCACUCUUGAAAAAAAACAAUAAAAGGAGAUAUUUAAAGCAGAUAAUUAUAUUCUAAAAUUCAAGUUAUCUUUCCAAGGAAAAUGGAAGCACAGAAAGAGAAGUAGGUAAAAUUAUAAUUAUAAAGAUAGGAAAAACAUAGUAGUAGCCUUAAUAUCAGAAUUGUAAAAAUGCAACUAUAAUAGUUGUAUUAGUAUUGCAAAAAAUUGCAGUUUGAACUCCAAGUUUUGGUGAGUAUGUAUUAUCUCAAAAACAUUUAAAAAUAGAAAAAUUUUCCUCAGAUUAAUUAAAAUACAACAGAUGUGUGUGCAUGUUUUUGUGUGCACAUGCAAACAAAAGACAACAUGUACUGCAAUAGCUAGGGUCAUUUUAAACUUUUAAUGUGCCUAUACUUUCUAAGAAAAUAAUUGAUUUUAUUUACCAGCUAUCUAUGUUAAGUGUAUGGUA